UCGGGAAUUUUGGGCAAUGGGCGCAAGCCUGAUCCAGCCAUGCCGCGUGCGGGAAGAAGGCCUUCGGGUUGUAAAGCUCUUUUACCAGGGACGAUAAUGACGGUACCCAAAGAAGAAGCUCCGGCUAACUUCGUGCCAGCAGCCGCGGUAAUACGAAGGGGGCUAGCGUUGUUCGGAUUUACUGGGCGUAAAGCGCGUGUAGGCGGAUUUGUAAGUUGGGGGUGAAAUCCCGAGGCUCAACCUCGGAACUGCCUCCAAAACUACAAGUCUGGACCUAAGUAGAGGCAAGUGGAAUUGCGAGUGUAGAGGUGAAAUUCGUAGAUAUUCGCAGGAACACCAGUGGCGAAGGCGACUUGCUGGGCUUGUAGUGACGCUGAGACGCGAAAGCGUGGGGAGCAAACAGGAUUAGAUACCCUUGUAGUCCCUGAGCGGGCUGGCAAGGCGCAU
rnacentral:rRNA from 1 species